UCAGGCGCGGGCGGGCGACGGGAAGGGCCUCGGCGCUCUGGCGGGGCGGGGCGCGGGCGCCGCGGUUUCUUCCAGUGGCUUGGCAGUUGGCAGCGGCUCGGCGCGCACCCAACGGCCCACCGCGGGUUUCCGGGACGGCUAGCAGCGCGGGUCCCGGUCCCGCCCCGAACCCGCUUACCUGGCGCAGAGGCCGCUCAGUGCGGUGCGGUCAGGCCUCGUGGGCUGGGACUCUGCAAGUGCUUGGUACAUGCACAGAUGGUAUUUAUUUGCUGUUUGUCUUAAAUUGCAUUCUUAUGCAUCAUGGAGAGUGAGAUAAGGAGAAGAAAAAAUAUUUUCUACAGGACCAUCCAAACAUGGACCUCACCACGUUGUCCCUCAUCCACGUCACCCGACCAACCCACACGGAGGUCCUGAGGGCUGCACCACACAGCCCCGAAGGGGCAGAGCUGGGGUCACACAGGUCUCGGAAGCCCACGCUGUGGCCCCAGGAGAAGGUUCUGGAUGUGGCUCCUGACAAGAGCAAAAAUCGCCCCCUGCAGAAACUUAGGAACUACGUACAGAACUUUACAGAGCAGAGGCAGCGCCAUAGCUGAGGCCUGGCUGCUGACCAGGAAGUGGAACUCUGAGUGCUCUCAAGGUAUGCAAGGAAGCCAGGCAGGGAGGAAGGGGCCGGCGGAGUCCGACUUCAGCUGCCAUCUUGUUUGGUGGCACAUCUCGUGGUCACAGGUUGUAGGCUCUGUUUCUGGAAGGUUCGGGUACAGCGCAAGAUUCCACUUGUUUACUUGGCUAUGUCUGUGCCUGAGGUGCCAUGAGGCCAACGGACGUCACUCAAAUUCAUGUCCAGCCAAACUCCCACAGCAAAGAAUCCCGAACCCAGGAUGAAGUUCCUCUAGAAAGCAUUCUUAUCCGUGGCAAAGCUGCAGACACCCCGAAACCAAUUUCCCACCUCGUCUGGAAUUUCGGGAGCUUUGUUUGCUGAGCCAGUGCACUCAUGGCGACCCUGCAGGAAGCCAGUGGCACCUCUGGGUUUUGCACCGUGUGUGUUCUCUUCUCCAAACUGCGGUUUUUGCUUAGCAAAGAGCCUUGCCUGCCACUGAUGAUGGCGGUGUGGGGUCAUUUUGAAUGGCUGCCUGAGACUGCAUGGCACAUUCACGCACACAGUCCUAUGGGAUUUUGACAUAAUAAGAAAUAGAUAUUUCAGCUCUCCCCCUGGUUCCUGACAGAGAGCUCCUAAAACCAUUGAAAUUUCCUGGAUAAUAGGAGCUUCUUCUGUUCUAAUGCGGUGACUCUUGGCUCCUGGGUGGGGGCUGGUCACUAGCGAGACCACACCACGAUGAGAAACCUGGAGCUUCAGCUCUACCCCCACCUCUGAGCAGGGGAGACGCGCUAGCUAGCGGCGCCAUCCUAAUGCGUCAUGUGCCUACGUGAUGACGUCUCCAUAAAAGUCCCUCAACAGUGUCCAUUCCUAAUGCGUCAUGUGCCUACGUGAUGACGUCUCCAUAAACGUCCCUCAACAGUGGCCAUUCCUAAUGCGUCAUGUGCCUACGUGAUGACGUCUCCAUAAACGUCCGAAAACAGUGGCCAUUCCUAAUGCACCAUGUGCCUACGUGAUGACGUCUCCUUAAAAGUCCCUCAACAGUGGCCAUUCCUAAUGCGCCAUGUGCCUACGUGAUGACGUCUCCAUAAACGUCCCUCAACAGCGGGGGUUUGGCGAGCUCCCAGCUAUUAUGGAAAAUACCACUGCGAUGAAUCUUCACAUACAAGUGUCUAUGUGGACACAUAUUUUCAUUUGUUGGGGAUAUGCCUCGGAGUGGACUUGCUGGGACCUAUGGCUGCUCUGUGUUCAGCAUUUUGAGGAAUUGGCCGACCGUUUUCUAAAGCGGGUGCACCAUUUGACAGUCCCACCAGCAGCAUGAGAGAGUUCUGGCGUCUCCACAUCCUCGUCAACACUCACUACCUGACUUUUUGGGUCUAGCUCUCCAGGUCAGGAAGCCGAACCAAAUCGACCUCCCUCAGGUGUGCCUGCAGGACCUGUGUGUGUGCAAGUUUCCAUCUUCCAGAGGGUUCCAGUGUCUGCCACGGCUCUUGGCCUGCCAGGAAGUGUCCUUCUUACUACUUGUGAGGCUGAGGCCUUGUGUGCCAGAAUACAGGCGCCCGGCCACUGUGGGUCUGAGGGUUGUGUGGGCAUUGGUUCAGCACACAUGCCACAACCCUUGUUCCUUAAUGGUGUGGAAGCACAGGAAAGUUAUUCUCAAAUAUGACACCCAAUUAAGGCCUGGGCUCCACUAUUAAUUUGUCUGAUUAUAUCCUGGUGACAAGGAGGACAAAUUUCUACUGCAACAAUGCAAAUUACUACAUUUUUAUUAAAAGUAAAUGUCAGUAAAACUAUU